rnacentral:rRNA from 1 species
CAUUAUGGCAGCUGUAGCGGAGGCGUGCAUCUUUCUUGGAGUCCGAACUCUCACUUUCUAACCCUGUGCACUUGUUUGGGAUAGUAACUCUCGCAAGAGAGCGAACUCCUAUUCACUUAUAAACACAAAGUCUAUGAAUGUAUUAAAUUUUAUAACAAAAUAAAACUUUCAACAACGGAUCUCUUGGCUCUCGCAUCGAUGAAGAACGCAGCGAAAUGCGAUAAGUAAUGUGAAUUGCAGAAUUCAGUGAAUCAUCGAAUCUUUGAACGCACCUUGCGCUCCAUGGUAUUCCGUGGAGCAUGCCUGUUUGAGUGUCAUGAAUACUUCAACCCUCCUCUUUCUUAAUGAUUGAAGAGGUGUUUGGUUUCUGAGCGCUGCUGGCCUUUACGGUCUAACUCGUUCGUAAUGCAUUAAAUCCGCAAUCUAACUUCGGAUUGACUUGGCGUAAUAGACUAGUCGCUGAAGAAUUCUCCUUCCUGAGUCAAGCGGUAGUAUGUUAAAGAAGGCUUCUGUUCUCG